UAGGGAAUCUUCGGCAAUGGACGAAAGUCUGACCGAGCAACGCCGCGUGAGUGAAGAAGGUUUUCGGAUCGUAAAACUCUGUUGUUAGAGAAGAACAAGGACGUUAGUAACUGAACGUCCCCUGACGGUAUCUAACCAGAAAGCCACGGCUAACUACGUGCCAGCAGCCGCGGUAAUACGUAGGUGGCAAGCGUUGUCCGGAUUUAUUGGGCGUAAAGCGAGCGCAGGCGGUUUCUUAAGUCUGAUGUGAAAGCCCCCGGCUCAACCGGGGAGGGUCAUUGGAAACUGGGAGACUUGAGUGCAGAAGAGGGGAGUGGAAUUCCAUGUGUAGCGGUGAAAUGCGUCGAUAGAUGGAGGAACACCAGUGGCGAAGGCGGCUGUCUAGUCUGUAACAGACGCUGAGGCUCGAAAGCGUGGGGAGCAAACAGG
rnacentral:rRNA from 1 species